AAUAGAAGCGUCCCCGCCCAUGCCGCGUUCUUGGGGUUAUUGUGACGUAGUCUCGCGUUUUGAGUCUGUCUGCGCUGGCUGGAGCCGUGGGCUGGGUAGAUCCUACCCGGGGCUAGACCCAGGUAACUGAGAGGUGAUAGAGGACUAUCUUGCACAAUAAAGAACAGAAUUGUUACUUUGGACCAAGAAUCCUGCCUGACUAUUCUCUAGCAAAGAGUUACAUAUUGGAAGAUGCAUGUGAUGUGGCUCUGUAGAUCUGGUGUUCAGUUCCUGCUGUUGCCCCCCUAUAGAGGUAAUUACUGAUAACAUUGUUAUGAUCGUUAGGACCAAACUGAUAAAUAUUUAACAAAGGACAUUUCCUUCCUUACUCCCUGCAUUAUUUUGCACAAUAAAA